GAUGAACGCUGGCGGCGUGCCUAAUACAUGCAAGUCGAGCGAACAGACGAGGAGCUUGCUCCUCUGACGUUAGCGGCGGACGGGUGAGUAACACGUGGAUAACCUACCUAUAAGACUGGGAUAACUUCGGGAAAACGGAGCUAAUACCGGAUCAUAUAUUGAACCGCAUGGUUCAAUAGUGAAAGACGGUUUUGCUGUCACUUAUAGACGGAUCCGCGCCGCAUUAGAUAGUUGGUAAGGUAACGGCUUACCAAGGCAACGAUGCGUAGCCGACCUGAGAGGGUGAUCGGCCACACUGGAACUGAGACACGGUCCAGACUCCUACGGGAGGCAGCAGUAGGGAAUCUUCCGCAAUGGGCGAAAGCUUGACGGAGCAACGCCGCGUGAGUGAUGAAGGUCUUCGGAUCGUAAAACUCUGUUAUUAGGGAAGAACAAAUGUGUAAGUAACUAUGCACGUCUUGACGGUACCUAAUCAGAAAGCCACGGCUAACUACGUG
rnacentral:rRNA from 1 species